rnacentral:rRNA from 1 species
CCUACGGGUGGCAGCAGUGAGGAAUAUUGGUCAAUGGGCUUACGCCUGAACCAGCCAAGUCGCGUGAGGGAAGACUGCCCUAUGGUUUGUAAACCUCUUUUGUCAGGGGGCAAGUGGCGCUACGUGUAGCGUUAUCGAGAGUACCUGAAGAAAAAGCAUCGGCUAACUCGGUGCCAGCAGCCGCGGAAAUACGGAGGAUGCGAGCGUUAUCAGGAUGUAUUGGGUUAAAGGGGUGCGUAGGCGUAACGCCAAGUCAGCGGUAAAAUCGCGGGGCUCAACCUCGCUCCGCCGUUGAAACUGGCGUUCUUGAGUGGGCGAGAAGUAUGCGGAAUGCGUGGUGUAGCGGUGAAAUGCAUAGAGAUCACGCAGAACUCCGAUUGCGAAGGCAGCAUACCGGCGCCCAACUGACGCUGAAGCACGAAAGCGUGGGUAUCGAACAGGAUUAGAUACCCUGGUAGUC